UGCCUCUUUGGUUCCUGUUGUCUCCACACAGCUCUUGGAACUAGGCUGGGCUGUUGCUCCUGGGAGCAGGGAAGGCUGGACAGACCUGAUUAUAGUCAGAGACUACUGCCAUGUUCCUGAGGGUGGCAGCCAGGACCAGGCACUUUGCUACUCUGAAAGGGGUGACUUCGAUUUUGGGUGAUUUGUCACUGCACGGAGAUGGGCAUCUCCCACCUGCUGCAGGAAUAUUGGUGCCACUCAAUGCUGCAUCUCCAGCUCUGGUAGCACCUUACAGAAUUCUGAUCUCAAAGAGAUGAAUGAUGGAGAAGGGGAAAAAUGAAACACCAUGGUUUGUCCUCAGCAACUGCUGCAGCACCUUCACCUGAAAUGGGAAAGGACAAAAUUUGUCUGUCUGCAGAACAUCCAUCCACAAGAAAGGGAGUUUAAUAUUCACUGAAUGCCAUUCAUCAACUCAGAAGUUCCCACUUUCAGAUAAGCCUCAGCCAGCUGAGAUGAUGUCCUGGGAAUGGAGCGAAGGUGGGAGCCCACCACAACCAUGUGCCCUUGGCUUGAGACACAACUGCAGGGAUGAGGAAGGCAGAAGCUUCCCAUGGACAUGCUGCCACAGCAGAGAUGUGGAAACUUUUGUGUCACCAGCACAAGUGAAAAGAUUUCCUUCCCUAUCCAACUCCUGCCUAUAUUCAUGUGGAAUAAGAGGACAAACCCCAGUUGUCCACAGUGAAAUGGUCAAGAAUGAGGUCACUAUUUAAAAAGAUCAACAAAAAACCCCAGUAAUGACUUGGCCACUGCUGUUGUGCACAAGUGUUGGUUGGAAUGGGGUUUUCUCUCCACGAGCACAUGAGGGGUAUUCAUUUGCUGCAAAGCAUUUUCUCCUGAAUGCUGAAGAUACUCUGAAAUUCUGCCAGGAAUGCAGCCAAUUCCCAGCUCCAGCUCCCCCCUGCCUUGUCCUUUCCCUGUGGGCUGUCCUUCCAGCAAAUAAACACAAGGGGAGGGGAAGCUGCUCCUGCUGCCUCUGAAGGUCACAGACACGAGGGGGUUCAUGCUGGCCCCCUGGGAGCCAGCAGCAUCUCCUGGUUUCUGCACCUCCUGACAAAAUACACAUACGUCUGUCAGCACUUCUGGAGAAUAAUAUUAAUAUUUGCAUGUUCUAACAGACUGAUCAAGCAUCUAACACUCAGCAGGUGGAAGAAUAAUUGAGAUUAGACAGAAAAAAUUGAGCCAGAGACCUGAAAAGAGUGAAUCUUCCCUUUGACAUUCUUUGGGACAGAGUGAGGCUUGUAUUAGUGUCUCUCUGAGUCUGGACUGAUACGGAUGGGCUUUAAACCAGCAAAAUGGAAGAAGCUUUAAACCAGCUUCAGAGCUGGUAUGGCCAGCUUGUACAUCACUCAGACAGCAGUUCUACUCCUGUUUUGGAGGAGGAUGCACAUGGUGAUGAGAAAAUCACAGGUAUCAUAAAUCUCUAGGAGCUUUUGCAAACCAAAGCCAUUUAAAGCUGUCUGAUGGCUGUUUCACUUCAUGCUUGUGGCACAUUUGGCCUUUGUCCCAUGCCAGAAUCAGAAGGAAUUGGAAAUGUCUCUGUUUAUCUUUGCUUUCCUACAAAAGCAGCACUGGACACCUCUCUCCUCUUAAAUCUGAUUUCCUCAGUGGUACAAAAGCAGAGGGUCAUUGAAAUUGCACUGAUUAUGAAACCGAUGUAAAAACGAGGAAAACAAGGUCUGUUCUUGUGUUAGGUUAGCUCUGAACCAGAGUGAGCAUGGUGCCACAAACCUGUCAGAGAACACAACAAGGUGGGGAUCAGAAAUCCCUGGGGAGGAUGAGCUCGCUGAGGUAUGAAAUGCCUCCCUGCCACUCCAGAGGUUCCUGGGGCUCCAAGGACAAACAAGCAGCAUCUGUGUCAGUGCUCUGUGCAGCACCAGCACGAGGGGCUGCAUUCAGCAGGGCAGCCCCUGCUGCUCUCACAUCAGCUCUUGUGUCUCUCUGCCUCCAGGAAGGUUUCAGCUCGGUUGUUUUUCCUUCUGCACCCAGCGCCGCCUCAGCCCAAGUAAACCUCAGUCUGCAAGAGACACGAUUUUGGUUGCUGUAAACCAAGGUUAGAUGUUUCACGCUGUAAUCGGAACUGGCAACUCCAGUGAGCUUCUUUACUACUUAAAAGCAGAAUUGAUGGUAUAGUAGCAAGGCUGAGAUCAUGAAGGAGCAAUUUCUCUUGCACAGACCCAUCUGGGGUAGUUAGAUGACCUGCUCUGUGAGCUGUAAUUUAAAAACAGUAGGAGAGACAGCUAAACAUGCCACUAAACCUUAAAAGAAUUUUUAGGAUCUUCCCCAAGUCCCCCAGCACACAUUAAAAAGCCCCAGUGCUUGUGGAUUUCUGGAUGUACAAUUCUGGCACUCGGAGCUUUCCCUGUGCAGUCAGCAGAUGUUUUUUGUUGUUUGCAGUCUGCAUUCAUCUGUCUCUACUCCUUUCUGCUCAUCUAUAAUCAAGUUCUGGAGCUACAAAUGUGUUACUCAACAACCCACAGCCUUAUGUUCGGAUCAUAACCCAUUAAUCCUGGACAUGCUCUGGGAGGGGCUCUGUUUCUAGAACAGUGGAGAGAGGGUUAAUGGCUGCUGCACACACAGAUUUAACACAAACAUCUUGUGUUAAAGCUGGGCAAAUUCACAUCACUCAAGGUGUUUUUGGCAGCAAUCAGCUGUGGUCAUAAGCAACAUAUUGACCUGCCAGACUGUAUAGCAAUCCAUAACAUUAGAUUAUCCAUUUCUUGAAACAACUAUUAAUUGCUCAUUAGCCAUUUAUAAAGUAUUUAUAUACUCAUAUUUCAUAUACAGCAUGACUGUAAUGAUAAUGUAUUUGACCUUUAAGUGCAAUCAAUCACAAAAGUCAGUAAGAAACAAAGUUUUGAAGCAUCCACGCCACUUUGCCUGAAGGACCUGAAGUCCCAGAUUCAUUUGGAUGGGAGGCACUUUCUCUGCAUAAACGCUGUCUUGCUAAAUUGUUCUGUGUUCCUUUUCCUGAUAGAGGAGACACCAUGGCACUAUCAGAGCAAAACAGACUGAACCCCUUGAUUUCAGAUCCAGGAUCAGAAUGGGUUGAAGCCCUCUCUUCCUCUGGGAUGGGCAACCUGGAGAACUCCAGAGAGCUGGGGUGAAGUGAGAGCAUCCUCACCCUUCCUGGCAGUGAAGGCUGCUCUGAUCCAGAAAAACGCUUGAGGAUAUGCUUAAAGUGAAGAGCUGGAUGGAGCUAUAGCAUUUAGCCAGGACAGGGGAGGCACACAGCUCUGUGAGGGGAGAAGUGUGGUUUGAAGGACAUCUAAGUGCACAGAGAUCCUGAGGAUAUUUUGAUGACCACACAUGGAGUGAGUGGCUUAAAUACCAGUGCAGUACACUCUUUAUCACAUCAAGAGAUCAGAGAAACCUUGGAAAUUUCAGCAGGACAUUCAGUUGUGAGGCACAUUUGUUGAAGGCUCUUUUAUCUUUGACUGCAGUAACUUUCUCCCUGGCUCUUAGGACUAAUAACAGCAAAGCUAGAUA
ensembl:lncRNA